rnacentral:rRNA from 1 species
CUGCAUGAAGUCGGAAUCGCUAGUAAUCGCAGGUCAGCAUACUGCGGUGAAUACGUUCCCGGGCCUUGUACACACCGCCCGUCACACCACGAAAGUUGGUAACACCCGAAGCCGGCGAACCGACGCGCAAGCGAGGGAACCGUCGAAGGUGGGAUCGAUGAUUGGGGUGAAGUCGUAACAAGGUAAC